rnacentral:RNase_P_RNA from 2 species
GGAAGUAACUGGGUAGCCGCAAGGGUAAAAGCCCUUGAGGAAAGUCCGAGCUCCACAGAGCGGGACGCUGGGUAACACCCAGUGGGGGCGACCCCAAGGAAAGUGCCACAGAAAACAAACCGCCCUGCUAAUAAGCGGGGUAAGGGUGAAAAGGUGGGGUAAGAGCCCACCAGCUAUCAGGGCGACCUGAUAGGCUUGGCAAACCCCGUCCGGAGCAAGGCCAAAUAGGAGGGAUAUAGGGUUGCUCGCCCUUCCCUCGGGUAGGCCGCUUGAGGAACGGAGCGAUCCGUUCCCUAGAGAGAUGGCUACUAGAACAGAACUCGGCUUACGGGUUGCUUCCGCCU